AUUGUGCAUGGUUAAAUGUAAUGGAGUCCGGCUAGUAUACUAUCUAUAGCAUGGAAGUCGUCGUGCUAUUAAGUUGUUUUCGAUAAUGCGGCUUCCAAAUCGACGAUCGAUUCUAUUAGACAACUUGAUCUAUACUAUUAAAAGUACUAGAAAACUAAAUUUCAUAACUUUUCGGCAUCAUUUUACUUAUCAAACGAGUAGUCUAAAAAUAAACGACUAAAAAUAAAAAUCUCAUAAAAAAUGAUGAAAAAGAUUUGAUUGUAAGACCAGAGAUACUGAUCUUAUAUAAAUAGUGAAGAAAUUUUUUUAUAAAAAUUUUAUCAGAUUUAAUUUGUUUUAUAUUGUUAAAUUCACAAACGCAUCACAUCGACCAGUAAAAUUGUCAAUUUGAGACCUUUUAAUCAUUAGUCAAAUAAUGUCAAAAAUUAUAAAAUUUAGUUUCUAAAUAUUUUCAAUAGCGUAGAUUAUGUCUAACGGAACCGAUCGUCGCUUCAGAAACCGCAUCAUCGAAAACAACUUGAUAGUACAGAAACUUUAAUGCUACCGAUAGUAUAGCAAUCUAGCUCCAC
rnacentral:lncRNA from 1 species